UACAGAGGGUGCAAACGUUGUUCGGAAUUACUGGGCGUAAAGCGCGUGUAGGCGGCCUUGCAAGUCGGAUGUGAAAGCCCUCGGCUCAACCGGGGAAGUGCACUCGAAACUGCAAGGCUGGAGUCCCGGAGAGGAUAGUGGAAUUCUCGGUGUAGAGGUGAAAUUCGUAGAUAUCGAGAGGAACACCGGUGGCGAAGGCGGCAUCCUGGACCAAUAUUGACGCUGAGGAGCGAAAGCCAGGGGAGCAAACGGG
rnacentral:rRNA from 1 species